GUUCCUACGGGACGCAGCAGUGGGGGAUAUUGCACAAUGGGGGGAACCCUGAUGCAGCGACGCCGCGUGGGUGAAGAAGCGCCUCGGCGCGUAAAGCCCUGUCAGUAGGGAAGAAAAUGACGGUACCUGAAGAAGAAGCCCCGGCUAACUACGUGCCAGCAGCCGCGGUAAUACGUAGGGGGCAAGCGUUAUCCGGAUUUACUGGGCGUAAAGGGGGCGCAAACGGCGAUGCAAGCCAGGAGUGAAAUCCUGG
rnacentral:rRNA from 1 species